rnacentral:rRNA from 1 species
UAGAUACCUGGUAGUCCGCACAGUAAACGCUGGAUGCCCGCUGUUGGCUCAUUAGAGUCAGCGGCCAAGCGAAAGCAUUAAGCAUCCCACCUGGGGAGUACGCCGGCAACGGUGAAACUCAAAGGAAUUGACGGGGGCCCGCACAAGCGGAGGAACAUGUGGUUUAAUUCGAUGAUACGCGAGGAACCUUACCCGGGCUUGAAUUGCAGACGAACGAUUCAGAGAUGAAGAGGCCCUUCGGGGCGUCUGU